GGUUAAAACGCUCGUAGUUGGAUAUCCGCUAAGGGGUUCCGGUCCUUCCCAGUGAAGAAUACGCGGAACUCUCCUUGGCAUUUGUUCAGGGAAAGUGUUUGCACUUUGUUGUGUGUCACGUGAUCUGGAUUUUUACUUUGAGGAAAUGAGAGUGUUCCAAGCAGGCUCACGCCGUGAAUAUGAUAGCAUGGAAUAAUAGCAUAGGACCCCUUUCCAAAGCUGUUGGUUUUUGGAACGAGGUAAUCAUAAUAAGGAUAGUUGGGGGUAUUCGUAUUUAACUGUCAGAGGUGAAAUUCUUGGAUUUUUUAAAGACGAACUACUGCGAAGGCAUCUGCCCAGGAUGUUUUUGUUGAUCAAGAACGAAAGUUAGGGGAUCGAAGACGAUCAGAUACCGUCCUAGUCUUAACCUUAAACUAUGCCGGCUGGAGAUCGGAGUUGUCAGAAUUGUGACGGCUUCGGCAUCCUGAGAGAAAUCGAAGUCUUUGGGUUCCGGGGGGAGUAUGGUCGCAAGGCUGAAACUUAAAGGAAUUGACGGAAGGGCACCACCAGGAGUGGAGCCUGCGGCUUAAUUUGACUCAACACGGGGAAACUCACCAGGUCCAGACAUAGUCAGGAUUGACAGACUGAUAGCUCU
rnacentral:rRNA from 1 species